UACAGAGGGUGCAAGCGUUGUUCGGAUUUACUGGGCGUAAAGCGCGUGUAGGCGGCGGCGUAAGUCGGAUGUGAAAUCCCUCGGCUUAACCGAGGACGUGCAUCCGAUACUGCGUCGCUUGAGUGCCGGAGGGGAUGGCGGAAUUCCCGGUGUAGAGGUGAAAUUCGUAGAUAUCGGGAGGAACACCUGUGGCGAAGGCGGCCAUCUGGACGGUAACUGACGCUGAGGCGCGAAAGCGUGGGGAGCGAACAGGA
rnacentral:rRNA from 1 species